UCGAGCGAACAGACGAGGAGCUUGCUCCUCUGACGUUAGCGGCGGACGGGUGAGUAACACGUGGAUAACCUACCUAUAAGACUGGGAUAACUUCGGGAAACCGGAGCUAAUACCGGAUAACAUGUUGAACCGCAUGGUUCAACAGUGAAAGACGGUCUUGCUGUCACUUAUAGAUGGAUCCGCGCCGCAUUAGCUAGUUGGUAAGGUAACGGCUUACCAAGGCAACGAUGCGUAGCCGACCUGAGAGGGUGAUCGGCCACACUGGAACUGAGACACGGUCCAGACUCCUACGGGAGGCAGCAGUAGGGAAUCUUCCGCAAUGGGCGAAAGCCUGACGGAGCAACGCCGCGUGAGUGAAGAAGGUCUUCGGAUCGUAAAACUCUGUUAUUAGGGAAGAACAAAUGUGUAAGUAACUAUGCACGUCUUGACGGUACCUAAUCAGAAAGCCACGGCUAACUACGUGCCAGCAGCCGCGGUAAUACGUAGGUGGCAAGCGUUAUCCGGAAUUAUUGGGCGUAAAGCGCGCGUAGGCGGUUUUUUAAGUCUGAUGUGAAAGCCCACGGCUCAACCGUGGAGGGUCAUUGGAAACUGGAAAACUUGAGUGCAGAAGAGGAAAGUGGAAUUCCAUGUGUAGCGGUGAAAUGCGCAGAGAUAUGGAGGAACACCAGUGGCGAAGGCGACUUUCUGGUCUGUAACUGACGCUGAUGUGCGAAAGCGUGGGGAUCAAACAGGAUUAGAUACCCUGGUAGUCCACGCCGUACACGAUGAGUGCUAAGUGUUAGGGGGUUUCCGCCCCUUAGUGCUGCAGCUAACGCAUUAAGCACUCCGCCUGGGGAGUACGACCGCAAGGUUGAAACUCAAAGGAAUUUGACGGGGACCCGCACAAGCGGUGAGCAUGUGGUUUAAUUUCGAAGCAACGCGAAGACCCUUACCAAUCUUGACAUCCUCUGACCCUCUAGAGAUAGAGUUUCCCCUUCGGGGACGGAGUGACAGGUGGUGCAUGGUUGUCGUCAGCUCGUGUCUGAGAUGUGGGUAGUCCCGCACGAGC
rnacentral:rRNA from 1 species